rnacentral:rRNA from 1 species
AAAGCAACUAUACGGUGAAACUGCGAAUGGCUCAUUAAAUCAGUUAUCGUUUAUUUGAAUAGUACCUACUACUUGGAUAACCGUGGUAAUUCUAGAGCUAAUACAUGCUAAAAACCUCGACUUCGGAAGGGGUGUAUUUAUUAGAUAAAAAACCAGCGCCCUUCGGGGCUCCUUGGUGAUUCAUAAUAACUAAACGAAUCGCAUGGCCUUGCGCCGGCGAUGGUUCAUUCAAAUUUCUGCCCUAUCAACUUUCGAUGGUAGGAUAGUGGCCUACCAUGGUAUCAACGGGUAACGGGGAAUUAGGGUUCUAUUCCGGAGAGGGAGCCUGAGAAACGGCUACCACAUCCAAGGAAGGCAGCAGGCGCGCAAAUUACCCAAUCCCGACACGGGGAGGUAGUGACAAUAAAUACUGAUACAGGGCUCUUUUGGGUCUUGUAAUUGGAAUGAGUACAAUUUAAAUCCCUUAACGAGGAACAAUUGGAGGGCAAGUCUGGUGCCAGCAGCCGCGGUAAUUCCAGCUCCAAUAGCGUAUAUUAAAGUUGUUGCAGUUAAAAAGCUCGUAGUUGAACCUUGGGCCUGGCUGGCCGGUCCGCCUCACCGCGUGUACUGGUCCGGCCGGGCCUUUCCUUCUGGGGAGCCGCAUGCCCUUCACUGGGCGUGUUGGGGAACCAGGACUUUUACUUUGAAAAAAUUAGAGUGUUCAAAGCAGGCCUUUGCUCGAAUACAUUAGCAUGGAAUAAUAGAAUAGGACGUGCGGUUCUAUUUUGUUGGUUUCUAGGACCGCCGUAAUGAUUAAUAGGGAUAGUCGGGGGCAUCAGUAUUCAAUUGUCAGAGGUGAAAUUCUUGGAUUUAUUGAAGACUAACUACUGCGAAAGCAUUUGCCAAGGAUGUUUUCAUUAAUCAGUGAACGAAAGUUAGGGGAUCGAAGACGAUCAGAUACCGUCGUAGUCUUAACCAUAAACUAUGCCGACUAGGGAUCGGGCGAUGUUAUCAUUUUGACUCGCUCGGCNCCUUACGAGAAAUCAAAGUC